UGGGGAAUAUUGCACAAUGGGCGCAAGCCUGAUGCAGCCAUGCCGCGUGUAUGAAGAAGGCCUUCGGGUUGUAAAGUACUUUCAGCGGGGAGGAAGGUGUUGAGGCUAAUAACCUCAGCAAUUGACGUUACCCGCAGAAGAAGCACCGGCUAACUCCGUGCCAGCAGCCGCGGUAAUACGGAGGGUGCAAGCGUUAAUCGGAAUUACUGGGCGUAAAGCGCACGCAGGCGGUCUGUCAAGUCGGAUGUGAAAUCCCCGGGCUCAACCUGGGAACUGCAUUCGAAACUGGCAGGCUAGAGUCUUGUAGAGGGGGGUAGAAUUCCAGGUGUAGCGGUGAAAUGCGUAGAGAUCUGGAGGAAUACCGGUGGCGAAGGCGGCCCCCUGGACAAAGACUGACACUGAGGUGCGAAAGCGUGGGGAGCAAACA
rnacentral:rRNA from 1 species